AGAAAAGAGGGAAAAAAGGCCACUAUAAAUCGCCUUCCGGUGUUUCAUGCAACGACAGUAGCUCAGCGGUUUAGCUAUCGAUCGCUUAGAGGGUCUACGAUGCACUGCUCCUUUCUUGUUUCGAUCCAAUUCUUUCCCUUUGUCUUCCGCUUUGACAUGCCAGAUCUUCCGGUUUCUUGGGAUUGUUGGGAUUUACUUGAUACGUUUUUCUUGAUUCAAAGACGGUUCCUUUUUUGUUUAGAUUCGUGGAUUGUGCGCUGUGUUUCGUCUUUGCUGGGAUUCUUUUUCUCGGUGCUUCUUGAUUUGCGAUUCUCUUCGAUCACUACGAGGUCUACGAUGCACUUCCCCUUUCUUGUUUGAUACCUGUUUGAUUCCUUUCAUUUUGUUUAGAUUCGUCGAUCAUCCCCCGUGUUUUCAUAAAAGAAACCCUUGGGUUUCUUUGGGAUUAGGGAUUUAAUCGAUAGAUGCAUUUAUCGAUUGGAUAUUCCCUUCAGAAACUGCUAGUUUAUCUUGUUUAGAUUAAAUUUUCGUUUCGUGGAUCAUAGUUCGCCCCAGAAAGGGAUUCUUUUUCUCGGUGUUUCUUGAUUUGCGAUCCUCUUCAUCACCGUACCCAGUUUGAGGUCAAAAGGAACCCUUUCUGGUUCUUUUCGGCACUUUCUUAUUUUGUCCUGAUCAAUUUCUGGCACCAAAUGGUCAAGCGAUCCGCAAGAAUUAAGGGACCUGGAGAUUUGGGGUUUCUUGACAUCUUUCUGUGACAUGUCUUUCUUGAUUGGAGAUUCAUUCACUGCUGAAUCAUUUUUUCGUGGACUAACCCUUAUAAUUUGUUCCAGCGUGGAAAUCUUUCGCCCUAUUUUUACAGUGAUGACAUCGUAGUUUAUUUUAUGCAAUCAAAAGACCAUUUUUGUAUAGCCGAGUAAUUUACUUGCUUUUAUUUUAUUGAUAAUAAACAAUAAGUGGGUACAGGGAUCAUAUUUACUGGUGUAGUUUUCAGAUCAAUCUACCAUGUUACAUGAUUAGAAAAAUAGGGGGAAAUUAGAGGUUAGUAAGAUCAUGAUAAAUUCACAUUGAAGAAAAGAGGUGCAUAAGAUAUUGUAUAAGAGAUAUCUGCUUCAACAUUUACUUCAAAAGAAAAAAAAAAGAUAUCUUUAACGGUGUUUGUUAGGAUGUGAAUGCUUAUUAAAUUGGGUAUAAUUGGGAUCACAUGUAUGAAAAAUUAUGCGAGGUGGCUAUCUUGGCAGCAUGCUGAUACCAUUAUGACUCCACAUUCACCUGUUAGCACUGUUCAUUCUUUUUCAUUUUUCUCAAUGCGUAUACUCAAUCAUUUAUCUCUGGAAUCAACUUGUCACUUAUUUUGCAUUUUUCUUUUACCAACGGGCACUUUUUUCAUCUCUCUCUCUCUCUCUCUCUGACAAGAAUUCUGCUCCAAACAUCAGUUCCAACUGAAGCCAUUCAGGUCAAAUUGUUUACAACUUGAUGCAGCUUCAUCACCUACAUAUAUUUUUAGCUCUAGUUCUGUUGCAAGACAUGGGAGUGCAAAUCCAUCUGGUUGCUGUCUAUUCUCCUGUUGAACUGCCGUGCUCUUGCUUCUUGGAUGCUCAAGAAAAUUGUUUACACCAUCUCUUUCCUUUCUUCCUACAUCAGGAACAUUUCUACUGUCUCUAUUGUCUUCUUGAGGCUUAACGCUUGCUUGUAUAAUGUUUUUGUCCCUCUGGAUUGGGAAAGAAUUCCUUUCUGAAUCUCUUAAAAUGGAUGAAGCCUUCUGCUCAUUCAGAUUAUUACACCAUGCCUGUUGAGUCUGUCCAAUCCUGGUAUGUUCUCCAAUUAUUUUCAUGCAUAAGGGAAAUUCUUCAUGUUGAGUUGUUAACCCCUGGCUGAUAACUUGCUCCUUCUCCGAUCCCUUAGAUGAGAUCAAACAACAAUCCGCCGAACAAUCAGUGAGUUGGGCCGGAGUUACCUGUAACAUAGGUUGGUUAUUAUUUCUUCCAGACUUGCAAAUGAAUUGAUGAAACAUUCACUUGAGACUUUGGAGACCAGUUCAGAGAUUUGGAUUUUGGCAACUUCCAGUCCCGCAGAACCCAAGUCCUGCUUCCUAAGAGUCUCUUGGGCCUUCUCCAGCACUGACUGCAAAUUGUGUAUUGUUUGUUAGUAUAAUGUAACAACACAUUAUACUAGGGAAAUUGGAUUUUGCACCUUUACAACACAGUAUAAUGUAACAACACAUUAUACUGUGUGUAACAACACAUUGGAUAUGCAACAACACAUUAUAAUGUAACAACACCAGAUUUGAUUUCGUUGUUCUUCUUACCUUUUUGCCCUCACUUUGCUCCUGCUGCUUGUUUCCAAUUGGAACUUCAAAUCUGUUUGUUUCUAUGCUGACAACGUAAUAUUUCUAGAGAGCUAGGACAUGUACAUAGUUAUGUCCUAUAUGUAUUCUCUUCUUGUUUAGGAAGGAGCUUGAGCUGCCUCAACUCUCCACAUUGAUGAGAGAUGCCUCCAAAGCUCUCCUUAUAUGGCAAAUGGAAAGAAAAUUUGGAAUCAGUUGAACAGAAACUCAACUAUUGAUCUAAUCUUCACAACUCGAAAAGUUAAAGCUUCAACUAGUGGUACAGCUUUAGCUUCCUUCAUGUCCAUGGAAUAAAUCCAUAAACAUUCAUUAUUAUAGUACAAUGGACCGUGGAACAAAAAUUAGGAACCUUAUGCUCUUGAGCAUAGGUUUCGUACAGAAAGGUAUACAAUCUGAUGUCUUCAGAGCUUGCAAAAUUUCCAUAUUCCUUAACUAUUUGUAGUGGCUCAGUAAGCAGAUCCCUCACAUUUGGAAACCUUAUUUUUCUGGGACCUGAAUGAACAACUUAGGUGUUUGGUCUAUGAUGCAUUGGGAUCUCAUGGAAGUCUAGAGUUGGAUAAUAUAUUUGCAGGUGGUAGAGAUUUGUCAUUCAUAGAGUUGAUUGAGGAAUUUUUGUCAGUUAUAUUAAAAAGUUUUUUUUUUUUGGAAAAGGAGUUUUAUUAGAAAGUUGAAAAUAUUGUUUGAAUGGAUGCAUCCGGAAGGAGAAUUACUCGCAUAUUUUCUGUAAAGAUGGGAAAACUCUACUGUACAUGAUGCUCUUAUGUACAUUCUGAACACAAAGUGAUGGAAUGAAAUAAGGAUUUAAUUCCCUCUUGUCUCCUCCACUAAGUAUGAUACUUAUUUGGCUGUCCCGAGGUACAAAAAAAAAAGGGAUAGAUUCUGGAAGUCGUCACUCUAAGCCAAUUGUUGAUCUGAGAUUUAUUAAUGGAAGGAGAACAGAGCAUAAAGGCAAACAUAUAUAUUCUAUUUCAUUCAUACAUCAUAGCUUGCCGAAUGGCUGGACCGCUUCAUUUCCAUCAGCAGAAGCUAGAUAACCAUGCACAACUAUUCAUGUUAGUUUUCAUGUGUACGUACUUGGCAUUUGUUGCAUGGUUAAGUGCAAAUAUGGUCAUAAUUACUCAACUCAUUUCUGCCUACAGGACCAAGUCAAGAUCACAAUGCAAAGGGUAACACUCUAGAUAUCCUCCUAUUAGGUAUCAAACUCCAUUACAUAGAACUGUUCUAUGAAUGCGUGAUAUGGAAUACAUUUAUGGGGAAGAAUUGACCAUCAUUUUAUCUUGUACCAGAAAAUAUUUUUUAUAGUAUCUUUUGCAGAGGCAGUUGAUCAGAGACUUACACCUCAGGUCUUUUUGUUGUUCCGGAGGUCUGCUGAAACAUUUGAUUUGCUCAUGCCUUAAAUUGGGGGUAGAAACUUUUUCUACCAUGUACAAUGUGAGAAAUCAGCUCAGGUCAUACAUAGGCAUUUAGAUAUAUAAAUUUCUAUCCAGUUGUAGACCCUUGAGUCUUGAAUGUAUGUAACUGUGAGGUAUUCUUUUGUGGCUGUCAUCCCUAGAGCUUCAACUUUUUCUCUGUCUCAAUGCAUUCUGAAGCAUGUCUUUUCAGGAACAUCUGGCCAAGUUCAUAUUUCCAUGGAUUGAAACAAAGAUUCUUGAUUUUUCUUGUUUUUGUUUGUAUGUAAAGACUGCUUGUUGUAGUUGUAGCUACCUCCUGCUUCUUCUAGACAGUAUUUACAAAUAACAAGAUAGCAAUCUUACAUACAGUGUCAUUCUUCUCCAUUAACUCAAGUGAGAUUAAAAGGUCCUCAUCAUUCAUAUCUAGAAUUUAUUAUUCAUGGAACGAAUAUUAUUCCCCUAGAAUGAGGAUGAGAUUGGGCAUAAAUUGUUCUCACCAUCAGAUAACCAGAAUAUAUUGCAUGUUUCAUUGAGUGGUACAUGAAAUUGUUUAAUUCUUCUGACAUUCUCCACAGGGAAUAUCUCCAACCGCCUCCCUGGUCAAAAGAAUGGCAGGAAUCAAUAAAGUUCAGAUCACUCUUUUUUCUUGAGAAUAAAAAAGAGCUUCAUGUUCUUCAUCCCCUGCAAUGAUCUUCUAUGUGACAUGGUGGCUGCAUCUCUCAAUACCUCGGACAUCAUGGAUUGAGCUACAGCUGCAAUGCUCAAUAAAUUUCCAUGAGAGUACUCGGGAUGAGGUGGUUACACAUGGAGACUGAUUCUAAGUAGACGGUGGACAUCAUCAACAAACACAACUUCUUCUCGGAGAAUUUUAACUUUAAUACAUGAUAUGUACUUGUCGAUGUCUUAUCUAUUUAUUGAUGGAAAAAUCUCUCGUGUAUUGCGUGAAGAAAAAUAUUGUAGCUAAUCGUUGAAAAUAUUGUAGCUAAUCGUUUGGUUUAACAUCUUUUAAUAGGGCUA